UAAAGCAAUUAAGGGCGUAUGGUGGAUGCCUUGGGUCUGAGAGGCGAUGAAGGACGUGGUAAGCUGCGAUAAGCUUCGGGGAGCUGCACACGAGCGUUAUAUCCGAAGAUUUCCGAAUGGGACAACCUAAUAUACUGAAGGUAUAUUACUCGAAAGAGAGCCAACUCCGUGAACUGAAACAUCUAAGUAGCGGAAGGAAAAGAAAACAAUAGUGAUUCCCUGAGUAGUGGCGAGCGAAAAGGGACAAGCCCAAACCGAAUCCGCUUGCGGGUUCGGGGUUAUAGGACUGCAUUUAGAAACUAAUGUCAAGCUGAAUCAUCUGGAAAGAUGGGCCAUAGCAGGUGAUAGCCCUGUAAGCACAAAUCAUUAGGGACGAGCAGUAUCCUGAGUAAUGCGGGACCGGAGGAAUCUUGCAUGAAUUUGUCAGCACCAUCUGAUAAGGCUAAAUACUCCUCAGACACCGAUAGUGAACCAGUACCGUAAGGGAAAGGUGAAAAGCACCCCGAACAGGGGAGUGAAAUAGUACCUGAAACCGUACGCCUACAAGCGGUCGAAGCCAGCAAUGGUGACGGCGUGCCUUUUGCAUAAUGAACCUACGAGUUACUCCUCACUGGCGAGGUUAAGUUCUUAUUUAACGGAGCCGAAGCGAAAGCGAGUCCAAAUAGGGCGAUUAGUCAGUGGGGGUAGACGCGAAACUUUGUGAUCUAUCCAUGGGCAGGUUGAAGGUGUAGUAACAUACACUGGAGGACCGAACCCGUUGACGUUGAAAAGUCUUGGGAUGACCUGUGGAUAGGGGUGAAAGGCCAAUCAAACUGAGAGAUAGCUCGUUCUCCCCGAAAUGUUUUUAGGAACAGCCUAGGCUUAAGAAGUAUGAUAGAGGUAGAGCUACUGAUUGGACUAGGGGGCUUCAUCGCCUACCAAAUCCUGACAAACUCCGAAUGCUAUCAUAUAUCGCCUGGAGUGAGGCUGUGGGCGCUAAGGUCCAUGGCCGAGAGGGAAAUAACCCAGAUUAGCAAUUAAGGUCCCUAAUACGUGGUUAAGUUGAUCAAACGUGGUGGAAUUUCUAUAACAGCCAGGAUGUUGGCUUGGAAGCAGCCAUUCAUUUAAAGAGUGCGUAACAGCUCACUGGUCGAGAGAUCCUGCACGGAAAAUAAUCGGGCAUCAAACUAUGAACCGAAGUUCUAGAUUCAAUAUUUAUUUAUUGAGUGGUAGGGGAGCAUUGAAAUCUGCAUCGAAGGUGUGGCGCGAGCCAUGCUGGAGCGAUUUCAAAAGAAAAUGUAGGUAUAAGUAACGAUAAAAGUAGUGAAAAACUACUUCGCCGAAAGUCUAAGGUUUCCUGAUCAACGUUAAUCGGAUCAGGGUUAGUCUGGUCCUUAGGAAAACCCGAAAGGGGCAUCUGAUGGAAAGCUAGUUAAUAUUCUAGCACCUACUAUGCAUUAAAAGUGACGCAGGGACGUGGUUGUUACGAACAGACGGAUGUUCGUUGAGUGGAACCUUCGGGGGAAGCGAAACAAUAAAAUCCCUGCCAAGAAAAGCGAGCAUAGCAGCCAGUACCGGAAUCCGACACAGGUAGACGGGAUGAGUAUUCUAAGGCGCUCGGGUGAGCCGCGGAGAAGGAACUAGGCAAAUUAAUGCUGUAACUUCGGGAUAAAGCAUACCGCAGUGAUGCGGUCACAGUAAAUAGGUACAACCAACUGUUUAACAAAAACACAGGGCCCUGCAAAAACGUAAGUUGACGUAUAGAGCCUGAAACCUGCCCGGUGCUGGAAGGUUAAGGAAGGGUGUUCGUCGCAAGACAAAGCUCCUGACUGAAGCCCCAGUAAACGGCGGCCGUAACUAUAACGGUCCUAAGGUAGCGAAAUUCCUUGUCGGGU
rnacentral:rRNA from 1 species